UACAGAGGUCUCAACCGUUGUUCGGAUUCAUUGGGCGUAAAGGGUGCGUAGGCGGUCGCGCAAGUCGGAUGUGAAAUCUCAGGGCUCAACCCUGAAACUGCAUUCGAUACUGCGUGGCUAGAGUGCUGGAGGGGAGACUGGAAUUUACGGUGUAGCAGUGAAAUGCGUAGAUAUCGUAAGGAAGACCAGUGGCGAAGGCGGGUCUCUGGACAGUUCCUGACGCUGAGGCACGAAGGUCAGGGGAGCAAACGGG
rnacentral:rRNA from 1 species